UACGUAGGGUGCAAGCGUUGUCCGGAAUUAUUGGGCGUAAAGAGCUCGUAGGCGGCCUGUUGCGUCCGCUGUGAAAGCCCGGGGCUUAACCCCGGGUCUGCAGUGGAUACGGGCAGGCUAGAGGUAGGUAGGGGAGAAUGGAAUUCCCGGUGUAGCGGUGAAAUGCGCAGAUAUCGGGAGGAACACCGGUGGCGAAGGCGGUUCUCUGGGCCUUACCUGACGCUGAGGAGCGAAAGCGUGGGGAGCGAACAGG
rnacentral:rRNA from 1 species